rnacentral:rRNA from 1 species
CCUACGGGCGGCAGCAGUGGGGAAUUUUGCGCAAUGCUCGUAAGAGUGACGCAGCGACGCCGCGUGAAUGACGAAGGCCUUCGGGUCGUAAAGUUCUUUCGACAGGGAAGAAAAUGCCUAUAAGUAACUGUGUAUGUAUUGACGGUACCUGUAUAAGCAGCCCCGGCUAACUCCGUGCCAGCAGCCGCUGUAAUACGGAGGGGGCGAGCGUUGUUCGGAGUGACUGGGCGUAAAGAGCACGUAGGCGGUGUGGUAAGUCAUUAGUCAAAGACUAGAGCUCAACUUUAGUAAGGCUCGUGAUACUAUAAUACGAGAGUAUCAGAGAGGAUUGCAGAAUUCCUGGUGUAGCGGUGAAAUGCGUAGAUAUCAGGAGGAAUACCGUUAGCGAAGGCGGCAAUCUGGCUGGAAACUGACGCUGAGGUGCGAAAGCGUGGGUAGCAAACAGGAUUAGAUACCCCUGUAGUC